AUUCUUGGGUGGGACUCAAGAAGAAGGGCAACGACUACAAGUGGAAUGACGGAACAGCUUUGGACUACGAAGACCUCAAUGACAGGUACUUCUCCGGUGGUGACUGUGCAAUAAUAGGUUAUCAGGCAUGGAUCUACCUGAACUCCCCAUGCUACUGGAAGCAGUCAGUUAUCUGCCAAACAGCCAAGCGCGGCGGAGGGCGUCCACAGCUGCCACCAUUGGUGGGCCAACCUGACUGGACUGAAAAAUGCGGCUGGUGGCUGGACCACCCCUCCAG